CCCCAACGUUCAAGUCAGGAAUCCUCUCGCAUAUUUCUUUUUGCGGCCAUGGGAGGUUUCCGUUACAACAUUGGGAGAUCAAAAACCUAGUUCUCACAACCCUUGAUCUUUUCAUGUUCAUUGUGUUGACAAUAGCUUCCGUCUUGGGAGUCUAUUCGAGAAACUAAAGUUUGCAUCGCGAUGAGUUGAAAUCCGCCGUGUCGGCAUUUUUUGCUUUGGACACAUCUUGGCGGCGGCAUUUCUUAGUAGUGUUGCAGACAUUU
rnacentral:snoRNA from 1 species